CAGGCGAGACGACGAGAGUUCGCCGCCUUCCUUCUCCGUUCCGGCAGUAGGGGUUCGCCGUUCCCUUGGGCUCGUCUGAACAGGCAAUUGGCCCUUCUCCCUAAAGCUAAGUCUGCACACUCUCAAUUCUAUUCAAUGUUUUCUAAGGGUGGGAGUUCUCAUGAUUGCUAUUCUAGAGUGCAGUGGUAAUACACAUAAGUCUUUCUAUUGUUGUUCAUAACGUGGACUGUCUGAUGUAAUGGUGGAACAUGAUUAUGCAAUUUGAAUAUUUGAAUGCAAACUGGAUUGAAUAUCUGAGAGAACAAUAAUACCUUGAAUGUUUGUGUUGGUUGCUGUUGGAGUUGAAUGGAAUAUGAUAUAACUUCACUGAAAAGAUCGAACUUGUUCCUUUUAAUAAAUACAAGUUGAAAUUGAUAGGAGAUGACGAAUCAAAGCUAACUUUUACUUUAAAGUUUCUGGCAAAGAGUGAAUGAGUGAUUUCUCUUGCUUUUCCGUUAUGGUGUGUUGAAUGAACUGGAACUGAAAUAAAUUGGUGUUGUUGUCUCAAUAAUUGCAGGUGAACUAAUAAAGGGAAAAGAAAACAUUGAAGCCAAGCCUUACUUUGAGAGCUUUGGCAGAAACAAGCUGGGGACUGUUCUUCGAUUUUUUUUUUCUUUGGUGAAAAUGAGGUGUGGGUGAGUAUUGCAAUGCUGGUGGGAGUUGAUACUAAUAGAAGAAAUUGGUUGCUGCAUACUUGAGUAUGCUAGCAAGAUGAGCAGAGAUAGGGUGGCUGGAAGUCUUCUUUGUCGAGGGUUAAAAAGAUGGGGUGCAGAGAGGGUGGUCGGCUUCUUCUGCAGGGGACGAGGGAGUGCAGUUGCAAGUGGGGAAAGGAGUGCAGGAGAUGUUACCUCUGCAGCACACAUCCCUUCCCUUUUUGACUUUUCUUCCUUUUUUCUUUUUUUUUUUUGUAGAAGAUAGGCAAUAGCCAAGUAAAACCCACGGUUUGUACUAAAAAUACUGGUUUCGAAUUACUAAACGUUGUAUUUCUGUAUCUGUCUGCUACUUGGUCUUGCUAAAAUUGAUAAACUGCAACAUACUAAAUUAAAUCUGCAGAUUUAAUUCGCUUCUUA
rnacentral:lncRNA from 1 species